rnacentral:tRNA from 1 species
CAUCAGAUGACUGAAAGUAAGUAAUGGUCUCUUAAACCAAAAUAUAGUAAAUUAACAUUUACUUCUGAUGG